rnacentral:ncRNA from 1 species
AAAUCUAUAUGAAAAAAUUGUAUAUAUAAAUAAAUUUUUAUGAUUUAUGAAAUUUAAUUUAAAUUUAUUUUACAUGUAAAUUUUAGUGUUAGUUUUUAAUUAUUUUAAUAAUAAUUAUUAUAUUUGCAGUAAUUAGAAUUAAAAAUUUAAGAAAUUAAGAUUUAGUAAUAUAUAAUUUAUUAACAAAUUUUGUGCCAGCAGUUGCGGUUAUACAAAAAAUAAUUUAAAUUUUAUCAGUAUAUAAUAAAUAAAAAUUAAUAUUUAAAUUAAAUAUUAAAUUAUUAAGUGAAAUUUUAAUUUAAUUAAAAUUUAUAUAGGUUUUAUGAUUUAUUAAAUUUUAUAAAAAACUAGGAUUAGAUACCCUAUUAUUAAAAAUUAAAUUUAUAAUACUAAAAUAGUAGAUAAUUAUUUAUUGAAACUUAAGUAAUUUGGCGGUAUUUUAGUUCAUUUAGAGGAAUCUGUUUAAUAAUUGAUAAUCCACGAAUAAAUUUACUUAAUUUAUUAUUUUGUAUAUCGUUGUUAAAAAAAUAUUUUUUAAUAAAAAUAAUAUUUUAAAAUUUUUAUUUAAAAUUAAUUCAGAUCAAGAUGCAGAUUAUAAUUAAGAAUAUAAUGGAUUACAAUAAAUAAAUUUAAAUGGAUAAUAUUUUUUAAGAAAUAUUUGAAGGUGGAUUUAAAUGUAAUUUUAAUUAAUUUAUUAAAAUGAUUAUAUAUUAAAAUAUGUACAUAUUGCCCGUCGCUUUCAUUAAUAAAUUGGAAUAAGUCGUAACAAAGUAGAGGUACUGGAAAGUGUUUCUAGAAAGAA